AUACUUGCCUAGUGGGGAGAUACCAUGAUCACAAAAGUGGUUUUCCCAAGGGGAAACAUAUCCAUUGUAUUCUGGAUGUGCUGACCUCUGUAGUUUCCCCAAAUGUGGUGGUGGUGUGGGUCUGUGUC
rnacentral:snRNA from 1 species